AGAGCUCAAUGGGGUCCAGUAGACUCCAGUGGAGCGGUGCCAGCAGCAGUUUGAGGCCCCCACUCCCACUGCACUGUUUCCUACAUAACCCAUAAUUCCUUUCAGGCCUGUGUUUACCCUACGACAAAUCUAGCCUCAAAUUCUGGUAGUCCAAAUUAGCACAAAGGGGGACUUCUCAAAAACAUAAUUUGGGAGAUGGAUAGAAGUCAUUAGAAUGUGACGUGUUUAGAUUAUAAUUUUGCCGAGUUUCUAUGCGACUAUUUCUGGUGAAACAAACCUUCGUGUUAAAGACGUGCGGUAACGAGCGUGUAACGAAGUAUUUUUUAAAAUCAACUAACGCAGUUACAGUUACUGAAAUUUAAAUGAGUUCGUUACUCGCGUUACUCUCUUUUGUGAAAAAUGAACACUUGCAGACAAGAAGACAAGCUAGGCCGACUUUAGCUGCUUCUGAUCUGACAUCGCAGGACCUUGGUGGCGCAAUGAUAAUGUAACGUCUCGGACGUUAUGGACUGAUGACACGGAGACGGGGCGACGUUAUUAUUCCUCCCUUUAUUGGGCAUCCACCAACACAGACAGCGUGCUCCUCUCGGCUCAGCAGCUCGAACAUCAACAACAACGGUACCCGUCAACCACCCGUAACUUCCGUUUUACGACAGGUUAACCCCGCCUCCCCUCUACUCCGCCAAUCACAGGCACGCCCCCUCGACCAGCACGCACGGUGCCACACUGUGAUUGACAGCCACUUCCAGUGUUGCCAGGUCCGCGGUUUUUGCCGCUGGUUGAAUUUUUUGUCUGCUGGUUCGGGUAGACCUAUUUUGCAUGCAAAUUACAUGAAUAUCUUUAAAUAAAAAUCCAUAUUUUAAAUGAAAUAAUAUAUUUAUACCCAAAUCCUACCAAACUGACUCCAGAUCAGCACGUACACGCCUCACUAGCACCCCCCCCCUCAAUUAUAUGCAGCACCUCAAGGCACCUUUGUUUUCUCUUUUAAUUAGUGUUAAUACUGUAGGCCAAUCACUUUUAUUUCAUUGGGCCUAAUGUAAAAAAAAACACUGUUAAAUGACAGACAGUUAUUUUGUAUUAAGUUAAGUAUUAAAAGGGACUUUUGUACUACUGCUUGAUUUGAAGGCCUGUUGCCCUGUUGAUUGCAAUAAAUAGGUCUACAACAUA